rnacentral:rRNA from 1 species
UAAUACAGAGGUCUCAAGCGUUGUUCGGAUUCAUUGGGCGUAAAGGGUGCGUAGGUGGUGAUGCAAGUCUGGUGUGAAAUCUCGGAGCUCAACUCCGAAAUUGCACCGGAUACUGCGUGACUCGAGGACUGUAGAGGAGAUCGGAAUUCACGGUGUAGCAGUGAAAUGCGUAGAUAUCGUGAGGAAGACCAGUUGCGAAGGCGGAUCUCUGGGCAGUUCCUGACACUGAGGCACGAAGGCCAGGGGAGCAAACGGGAUUAGAUACCCCGGUAGUCCUGGCAGUAAACGGUGCACGUUUGGUGUGGGCGGGUUCAGACCCCGUCCGUGCCGGAGCUAACGCGUUAAACGUGCCGCCUGGGAAGUACGGUCGCAAGAUUA